rnacentral:rRNA from 1 species
AGGGUUUGAUCCUGGCUCAGAACGUACGCUGGCGGCACGCCUAACACAUGCAAGUCGAACGAAGUAGCAAUACUUAGUGGCAGACGGGUGAGUAACAUGUAGGUAUCUACCCUUUGGCCUGGAAUAACACGAGGAAACUUGUGCUAAUACCGGAUAAGUCUUUACAGAGAAAGCUUUAUGCACCAUUGGAUGAGCCUGCACUUGAUUAGUUUGUUGGUGGGGUAAUGGCCUACCAAGACUGUGAUCAAUAGCUGAUUUGAGAGGAUGAUCAGCCACAUUGGGACUGAGACACGGCCCAAACUCCUACGGGAGGCAGCAGUGGGGAAUCUUGCACAAUGGAGGAAACUCUGAUGCAGCGAUGCCGCGUGAGUGAAGAAGGCCUUUGGGUUGUAAAGCUCUUUCGUCGGGGAAGAAAAUGACUGUACCCGAAUAAGAAGGUCCGGCUAACUUCGUGCCAGCAGCCGCGGUAAUACGAAGGGACCUAGCGUAGUUCGGAAUUACUGGGCUUAAAGAGUUCGUAGGUGGUUGAAAAAGUUAGUGGUGAAAUCCCAGAGCUUAACUCUGGAACUGCCAUUAAAACUUUUCAGCUAGAGUAUGAUAGAGGAAAGCAGAAUUUCUAGUGUAGAGGUGAAAUUCGUAGAUAUUAGAAAGAAUACCAAUUGCGAAGGCAGCUUUCUGGAUCAUUACUGACACUGAGGAACGAAAGCAUGGGUAGCGAAGAGGAUUAGAUACCCUCGUAGUCCAUGCCGUAAACGAUGUGUGUUAGACGUUGGAGAUUUAUUUUCAGUGUCGCAGGGAAACCGAUAAACACACCGCCUGGGGAGUACGACCGCAAGGUUAAAACUCAAAUGAAUUGACGGGGACCCGCACAAGUAGUGGAGCAUGUGGUUUAAUUCGAAGAUACGCGCAGAACCUUACCAACACUUGACAUGUUCGUCGCGACUCUAAGAGAUUAGAGUUUUCGGUUCGGCCGGACGAAACACAGGUGCUGCAUGGCUGUCGUCAGCUCGUGUCGUGAGAUGUUGGGUUAAGUCCCGCAACGAGCGCAACCCUCACUUUUAGUUGCCAUCAUUAAGUUGGGCACUCUGAAAGAACUGCCAGUGAUAAGCUGGAGGAAGGUGGGGAUGACGUCAAGUCCUCAUGGCCCUUACGUGUUGGGCUACACACGUGCUACAAUGGUAUCUACAACAGGAAGCAAGACUGCGAAGUUAAGCAAAUCCCUAAAAGAUACCUCAGUUCGGAUUGCACUCUGCAACUCGAGUGCAUGAAGCUGGAAUUACUAGUAAUCGUGGAUCAGCGUGCCACGGUGAAUGCGUUCCCGGGUCUUGUACACACCGCCCGUCACACCAUGGGAGUUGGUUCUACCUUAAGGCAAGGUUUCAAACCCUUGACCACGGUAUAGUCAGCGACUGGGGUGAAGUCGUAACAAGGUAGCCG